rnacentral:rRNA from 1 species
AUUGAACGCUGGCGGCAUGCCUUACACAUGCAAGUCGAACGGCAGCGGGGGAGAAGCUUGCUUUUCCUGCCGGCGAGUGGCGAACGGGUGAGUAAUACAUCGGAACGUGCCCUGUAGUGGGGGAUAACUAGUCGAAAGAUUAGCUAAUACCGCAUACGACCUGAGGGUGAAAGUGGGGGACCGCAAGGCCUCAUGCUAUAGGAGCGGCCGAUGUCUGAUUAGCUAGUUGGUGGGGUAAAGGCCUACCAAGGCGACGAUCAGUAGCUGGUCUGGGGGGACGAUCAGCCACACUGGGACUGAGACACGGCCCAGACUCCUACGGGAGGCAGCAGUGGGGAAUUUUGGACAAUGGGCGAAAACCUGAUCCAGCAAUGCCGCGUGUGUGAAGAAGGCCUUCGGGUUGUAAAGCACUUUUGUCCGGAAAGAAAUGGCUCUGGUUAAUACCUGGGGUCGAUGACGGUACCGGAAGAAUAAGGACCGGCUAACUACGUGCCAGCAGCCGCAGUAA